rnacentral:rRNA from 1 species
UACGUAGGGGGCAAGCGUUGUCCGGAAUUACUGGGCGUAAAGCGCGUGUAGGCGGGACGGUUAGUCGGACGUGAAAGGCUGGGGCUCAACCCCAGAUCGCCGUUCGAAACUGCCGUUCUUGAGGGUCGAAGAGGAGAGUGGAAUUCCUGGUGUAGCGGUGAAAUGCGUAGAGAUCAGGAGGAACACCCAUGGCGAAGGCAGCUCUCUGGUCGACCUCUGACGCUGAGACGCGAAAGCGUGGGGAGCGAACGGG